ACAGAGCAGCUUGAAAAACACGCCAUCUUCUACUCUACCUGGCCGAGAGUCGACCCUCUCUCCACACACUGUGUCCCCUCUCAACAUCCUUUAAAACUCCUUACAAGGCUCAGCCCGACAGAAACUUGUGGCCGACAUCUCUCUUGAUGUCUGGCCCCUCUCCUCCCUUAGAGAGUGAAUAAACUCUGUCCUGCUUAUCUGGACAUGCUUUGUGCAAUUCCCUAACAGCUUUGGUGGCCCGUAAGAAGACUGGCCAUUACCUACUGACCGGAAUCCAUCUCAACCAGAUCGCCUUCUCAACUUAUCUCAGAGAGAAAACUGCAGUGCUGCAAAUACAACUGAUUCAGCAUUACAGUAUCUACCAAGUGCAAGCAAUCCCACUCUACGAGAGCACUACAAGCCUUCCAGAACUCAAACUUGUAAGGUAAAGAAACUGAAGCUCUGUCAUUCAUCUAAAGUUUCACCUAGGACCAGCUAAAGGUAAGGAAACCAAGCCAGGCAUCUUCCCUUCCAAUAGGCCUUCCUCCACAACCCUCAGCAGAUGGGUGACCUCAAAAGACAUGCUUACCUCAACACUGAGACUCACUAAGUAACUGGAUCAAGGGAUGGAAAGAGACCCAUGGCCACCUAACAGCUCUCAAACAUGCUGUGGCCCUGAUAGCUUGAGUUGGGAAUGGCCACCAUAAUCCCUCACCCCUAGAUGCUAUGAGGAGCCCACACGGAAUCCUGCCUAAGGCAGAAGGCAGAACAGAAACCAGCUGUGGUCACUGGACAGGAGUGGGGAAGAAAAGGUUAGUGGGGGCAGGGAACCAAGAGGCUGGAGGAGCAGGCUGCCCAUCCACAGGAGGUGGUGAGAGACAGGACCGUGCAAAAGUGGAGAUUCCAAACCCCCAAUGUGUGCUCCAUUGUCUCAUUGGACUUCUAAAAUACAAACUCAAAGAUAAAGUUGGGGUUUUUUUUAAUUUUUUAUUUUUUUUGAGAAAGAGAGAGAAAGAGAGAACGAGUGGGGGAGGGGCAGAGAAAGAAGGGGAAAGAGGAUCAGAAGCGGGCUCUGCGCUGACAACCGAUAUGGGGCUUGAAUUCACGAACCAUGAGAUCAUGACCUGAGCCGAAGUCAGACUCUUAACUGACUGAGCCACCCAGAGGCCCCUCAAAGAUAAAACUAUAAAAACUAAGACAAUAACCCACGAGCAUUACACCUCAAAUGUGAAGCUCUUAUGAGUGCAGGGCCCUGUGCAACCACCCCGGCCUGUGAACCUCACCCUAGUUACACAGCUAGUAACCAUGUUAGUCUGACCAUGACUAACUCUUGAUUACUAAACAGCUCGCAGGAACUCCCUUGCCUGAUGGAUCCUCUCUUCAAAACUAAUAACAUUUUUGUCUAGUCUACCACAGCUACCAAAGCUGUUUUCUCUGCUUAUUAUCUCACGUAGUAAUAGUAAUAUAUAGGCAAUGGAAUUACAUAUGAUCUUUUUUCUGUAAUCCUUACUCUGCCCCCACUUUAAUAAUUAUAUACUUAAGUGUAGUUUAACACUUUCUUCUGGCCCAUGUAUUUCCUGCAAAUCAGCAGCAGGACUCAGAGACUUAAUCAUGCAAUAGACUUCUAACUGUAAUAUAUCAUCCCUGCCUCCAAUUUUAUACUCCAGGCUACUCCAGACUAACCAUAUUAACCUCCCUAAAAUACCACAUGGGAUGUCCAAGCCACAUGCUCCCCUCCAUCCACAUCCGUGUCCACGUCUGUCCACCUCCUCCCCCACACUCAUGCACACCAUCCAAAAUCUUCCAUGGCAACUUUUAACCUAUGUUAACAUCAACGUCCUCCACAGUCUGUGUUCAGACCAACCUCCUUGCCUUCUCCUUCCUCAUCCAGACCCACAGAAAGGUGGGUUAAAUAGUGCAAAGAGCUGGAGUCAUCUAGAGUUCAAGCCAUAAUCCCAGCUUCACAAUUCGAUUGGGAUAGAACUCUGACAAGUAGCUUUUCUUCUCUCUCCCUGAAUUUCUGUGUUUGUAAAAGUAGAAUGAUACCACCCUUAUAGAGCUGAUGUAAGGAUUGUUAAAUGAAUUUGUGUAAAGCACCUAGGAGACCCUCAGGAAAAGGGAACUGUUACUAUGAUUACAGCAGUCACAACAGUCACAAAAUUGCUGGUGGAAUUUUUCUUUUCAGCUUUUGCCUAUAUUUCUUUUCCAACUAAAACCUCUCUCUGGUUGUCUAAGUCUUACCUACUGUGGUAGGUAAAAUUCUAAGAUGUCUGCCUAGAUUUCCUAUCCCUGGUAUAAACCUCAGAACUGCAAAUGUAAUGGACUUUAUCUACACAUGGUGAUGUUAUAUAGCACAGUUGACCUUAAAAUAAGGAGAUUAUCCAGGCAAGUCUGGCCUAAUCACAUCAGUCCUUUUUUUCUAAGUUUAUUUAUUUAUUUUGAGAGAGAGAGAGAACACGAGAAGUGGAGGGGCUGAGAGAGAGGGAAAGAGAGAGAAUGCCAAGCAGGUUCUGCUCUGUCAGUGCAGAGCCCGAUUUGGGGCUUGAUCCCACGAACCAUGAUCAUGAUCUGAGCUGAAAUCAAGAGUUGGACGCUUGGGGCGCCUGGGUGGCUCAGUCAGUUAAGCGUCCAACUUCAGCUCAGGUCAUGAUCUCUCGGUCCGUGAGUUCGAGCUCCGUGUCGGGCUCUGUGCUGACAGCUCAGAGCCUGGAGCCUGCUUCCGAUUCUGUGUCUCCCUCUCUCUCUGCUCCUCCCCCGUUCAUGCUCUGUCUCUCUCUGUCUCAAAAAUAAAUAAACAUUAAAAAAAAAAAAAGAGUUGGACGCUUAACCAACUGAUCCUCCCAGGUGCCCAUAUUAGCCUCUUUAAAGCAAAGAGUUUUCUUCAGCUGGUCAUGAGGUAGUUAAAGAUUAGAACCACAGGAAGGAUUUAACAAGCUGUCGAUAGAUUAAAGAUGCAGGAAGUCACAUGUCAAGGAAUGCAGGCUGCCUCUAGGAACUGCAAGUAGACCCUGGCUGACAACAGGGAAAUGUAAACCUCAUUCCCACAGCUACAAGGAACUAAAUUCUGACAGGUAGAAUGAUCUUGGGGGAGUGCCUGGGUGGCUCAGCUGGUUGAGCAUCCAAGUGUUGACUUCAGCUCAGGUCGUGAUCCCAGGCUCAUGGGAUUGAGCCCCUCCUCCACACCCAGUGUGGGGCCUGUUUAAGAUUAAGAUUCUCUCUCUCUCUCUCUCUCUCUCUCUGCCCCUGCCCUGUUCACGUGCUCAUGCUCUUUCUCUCUCUGGAGAAGGAGAAGGAGGAGGAGGAGGAGGAGGAGGAGGAGGAGGAGGAGGAGGAGGAGAAGAAGGAGAAGAAUGAUCUCGGAAACAGAUUUUCCCACAGAGCCCCCAGAUGAGAACUCAGUCCAUUGGAUACCUUGAUUUCAGAAUGUGAUAAUGAACACUGAACCCAGCCACACCAUGAAGGACAAACAUCUGACCUUUACAACUGUGAGAUGAACAUGAGUGUUGUGAGGUAACUUGUUACACAGCAAUAGAAUACUAAUGCACCUACCUUCAAGGUCUACUUCUUUUUUUUUUUUUUUUAAUGUUUAUUUUUGAGAGAGAGAGAGAGACAGAAUGUGAGCAGGGGAGGGGCUGAGAGAGAGGGAGACACAGAAUCUGAAGCAGGCUCCAGGCUCUGAACUGUCAGCACAGAGCCCAACACAGGGCUCGAACCCAUGAACUGUGAGAUCAUGACCUGAGCCAAAGUAGGACACUCAACCAACUGAGCCACCCAGGCGCCCCCAAGGUCUACUAGUCCUUUCUAUAUGACUUCCCACCACAAAACCCUGGCAUGAACUAUUUAUACAAACCCUUUUUCCUUCCUAAAACUUAUCACAAUUGCCCUUUUAUUACAUGACCACUUUACAUUUCUCUCCUAUUACAGAGACUGCUAAAUGUCCCCCAUACUUGUUCUGCUCUUUCUCCACAGUAAUAGAACCCCAGAUUUAUAGCUGGGCACUUAGCCACACUGUUCCAAUUUGACACAUGGCAAGUUACAAAGCUUUGGUUUUCUCAUCUCUAAAAUAGGGAUAGUAAUCUUUUGGACCUUUUUUAAUGGAAAGGGCUUAGCGCAAAGUCAGCACGAGGAAAACAUUAACAAAGAUCAAUUCACAGCCUACACUAGACUAAGAAACUAAGUCACAAAUAAUGUGGUGAAGACCAUGUUGUCAUGUACCAAGCAGGAAGAGAUCACGAUAAGGACCUAAGGAUAAAAAAGAGUUGAUGGGACAGUGAAAUCAAUGUAGCUGCAAAGGAAGAAUGUUUGGUUAGGAAGGCACCUAGAGGUGGCAGCAUGUUCUGGGACAUGAUUAAAUUAUAGUAGUCUACCCUUAUGCACAGGAGAGUACAUUCUAAGACCCUCAGUGGAUAUCUGAAACUGCAGAUGGUAUCGAACCCUAUAUACACUGGUUUUCUUCCUAUGAUAAAGUUUGAUUUAUAAAUUAAGCACAGUACGAGAUUAACAACAAUAACUAAUAAUAAAAGAGGACAAUUACAACAAUAUACUAUAAUAAAAGUUGGUGACUAUGGUCUUUCUCUCAAAAUAUCUUGCCAUGCGAUAUUCACCUUUCUUCUUGUGAUGCUCUAAGAUGAUAAAAUGCCUGCAUGAUGGGACAAAUGAGGUGAAGGACAUAGGCGCUGUGAUGAAGUGUAGGCUGCUAUUGCCCUUCUGAUGUCUGUCAGAAGGAAGAGCAGCUGCUUUGGGGCCACGGUGGACUGUAGGUCACUGAAAGCCCCCAAGUUGAAGCUUUGGAUGAGGGGGACUAGUGUCAUCAGACUAAAGUGAAUGUUCACAUGGCUCAAAGAUAAGAAUGAAAAGAUAAAUUUCCACAAGAUUAUAACCUGCAGAGGUUAAGGACUGUGUAACAUUUGCUCGUGGUUGCAGCUGGCUCAACAUCGCUCUGCCAUAUAAUUAGUCUGAAGGCCACUAAUGACAGGGUACAUUGUGAGAUAUGUAAAAAUUUAGCAUUUCUCGGUAAAAAAUAAUUGAGGAAGAGUUUUAUUUUUAAUGUUUAUUUAUUUAUCUUGAAAGAGAGGGUGGGGGAGAGGCAGAGACAGGGUGACAGAGAAUCAUAAGCAGGCUUCACACUGUCAGUGCAGAGCUGGACACGAGCCUUGAACUCACGAAUUGUGAGAUCAUGACCUGAGCCAAAAUCAAGACUCGGACGCUUAACUGAGCCAUCCUGGUGCCCCAGAGGAAGAGUUUUUGAUGAUGGCAAUUAUUUCACACAGUACCCCAUAGCAUGGGAAGCUUUAAAUUCUUCUAAGUCCGUAGCAGUUCUCCAGGUUACGUGAAAAACAGGAAGUACAGCUCUCUUUUAUUACACAGACUGGGAAAUUGAGACAUAGUAGCAACUGUCAGUAUGAAUACAAUAUGUGGAAAUUUUAAUCAGGGAGAGAGCUGGGUAUAAAAUCUAAGUCUUCUGUAUUUAGUUGUUUAGUUUAGUUUCUAUGCUCUCCUAAUUAGUUUUCGGACUGCUCUAUGUCAGUUAUGGGCCUGAGGAUUGGCUUAUACCUUCUCAAUACUCUCUAGUAUACUUCACGCCCACUUUGGUAAAUCUACAAUUUACACGCACACACUGCAUCCCCCAACUCACACAGAUGUACCUUCUCUGUUUAUACCAUCUCACCAACCUCUUCCCCACACUGUCCCCACAUCAGAACCACACAGUGGCUCAAUCAGUAGUUCUUCCUUUCUUCCCCAAAUGCUACAUGUACACCACACUCCUCCCUCCACCCCCACCCAAAACCACAACCACUUCCCCCAUCACUUUGAAAACAGCAGGGCUCUUCUCUUUUCUUCUUUGUUACCCUUAACUUUAUUGAGGUAUAAUUAACAAAACACACACACACACACACACACACACACACACACACACACAUAUGCUAUACAAUGUAGUGUUUUGAUAUAUAUUCAUACUGUGAAAUGAUUACUACAAUCAAGCUAUUUCACACAUUCACAUAGUUAACAUUUUUUCUUGUGAGAAUACUUAAAAUCUACCCUUUAUAAAUAUACAAUACAUUAUUAUUAACUAUAGUUAUCAUGCUGUAUGUUAGAUCUCUAAAACUUAUUCAUUUUAUAACUGGAAGUUUGUACCCUUGACAAACAUCUCCCCAUUUCUCCCACUACCCCCCACCCCCUGGUAAUCACGCUUCUUUCUUUUCUUUUUCUUUUUUUUUUUUUUACUUUUUUAAAAAAUUGGAGUACAAAUAUCUCUUCAAGAUGUAGAUUUCAUGUCUUUUGGAUUUAUAACCAGAAGUGGGAUUGCAUUAUCCAAAGAAGAUAUCUAAGCAGACAACAGGUAUAUGGAAAGGCACUCAACAUCACUAAUCAUCAGGGAAAUGCAAAUCAAAACCACGUUGAAAUAUCACUUCACAUCUGUUAGGAUGGUUAUUAUCAAAAAGCCAAAAAAUAGUAAGUGUUGGCAAGGAUGUGGAGAAAAGUGAAUCUUUAUUCCCUGUUGGAAAUGUAAAUUGGUACAGGCAUUAUGGAAAACAGGAGGGAGGCUCUUCAAAAAAUAAAAAAUAGAACUAUCUUAUCCUGAUCUUUUCCUUUAUUCACCAAUUUUUUAAAAAUUCAGUAUGGAUUUAAAUCAUUUGCAGCUUCACAUUUUUCCAGUGUUCUCACUUUUUUAUUGCACUUCAACCUUCUACUCUGUGAGAAAGCUACAAAGAAGGUUAUUAAAAAUUACGUAAAAUUUCAGCUCCCAGAGAUACCUACUAAUAACAUUUUAAUAUAUUACCUUUCAGGCUUUUCUCUGCCCAUAUAUAUUUUUAUGUGUGUGUUCAUUUUUUUCUCACACAAAUUUUUUACUGAGAUAAUUUACACACCAUAAAAUUUACCCUUUUAAAGUAUAGUGUUCAAUUUUUAUUCCUGCUAUUUUCACCUCAACAUUAUUAUAUCAAGAACAUGUGCUCAUGACAUUGAAUAUUCUCCAAAACUUUAUUUUUUAGAGUUUAUAGCCAUUUUAAAGUAUGCAAGAAUCAUAAUUUAUUUAAACAUCUUCUUAUUGGACAUUUAAGUUGUCUCCAACUUUUCAUUAUUGUAAAUAAUGCUUUGAAAAAUAGUCUUGUAUUUUUAUUUUUAUAGACAUAGAAUUAUUGUUUUAACACAUUUUUACUUAUGAGAGGGGCAAAUGCUACUGUUUGCCUACCCAAUAGACAUUCUCUCCUUCAUCCUUAGUUUGUAGAAUCUCAUAGUUUGGAGAGGUGUAUUAGUUAUCUAUUGCUGUCUAUAAACUACUCUGAAACAGGAGCACCUGGGUGGCUCAGUCAGUUAAGAGUCGGGCUUUGGCUCAAGUCAUGAUCUCAUGGCUCAUGAGUUCCAGUCCCAUGUUGGGCUCUGUGCUGACAGCUGAGAGCCUGAAGCCUAUUUCAGAUUCGGUGUCUCCCUCUCUCUCUGCCCCUCCCCCAGUCAUGCUCUGUCUUUCUCUCCUUCAAAAAGAAAUAAACAUUAUAAAUUACUCCAAAAUAAUCCUUUAUUCUCUCUCAUGUUUUCUAUGGCUCAGGAAUUUGGAAGUGGCUUGGCUGGGAAGUUCUAGCUUAGAGUCUCUCAUAAUGUUGCAGUCAGCUGGGGUCAUCUCCAAGCUCCUUCAGUCACAUGUUUGAUGCCUGGACUGGGAAGAUUAGAAAAACUGGGGUCUUACAUGGUAGAGCCUUUCAAAAAUCCCUUUCUAUUUCGAGGCACCUGGGUGGCUUAGUUGGUUAAGCAUAGGAUUCUUCAUUUUGGCUCAGGUCAUGAUCUCAUCAUGAGAUCAAGCCCCGCAUCAAGCUCUGUGCUGGGUGUAGAGCCUGCUUAAGAUUCUCUCUCUCUGCCUCCCUAGACCCAUC